UACGGAGGGAGCUAGCGUUGUUCGGAAUUACUGGGCGUAAAGCGCACGUAGGCGGCUAUUCAAGUCGGGGGUGAAAGCCCGGGGCUCAACCCCGGAACUGCCCUCGAAACUAGAUAGCUAGAAUCUUGGAGAGGCGAGUGGAAUUCCGAGUGUAGAGGUGAAAUUCGUAGAUAUUCGGAAGAACACCAGUGGCGAAGGCGACUCGCUGGACAAGUAUUGACGCUGAGGUGCGAAAGCGUGGGGAGCAAACAGG
rnacentral:rRNA from 2 species